CGGAGGGGGCUAGCGUUGUUCGGAAUUACUGGGCGUAAAGCGCACGUAGGCGGCUUUGUAAGUUGGAGGUGAAAGCCCGGGGCUCAACCCCGGAAUUGCCUUUAAGACUGCAUCGCUAGAAUUGUGGAGAGGUAAGUGGAAUUCCGAGUGUAGAGGUGAAAUUCGUAGAUAUUCGGAAGAACACCAGUGGCGAAGGCGACUUACUGGACACAUAUUGACGCUGAGGUGCGAAAGCGUGGGAGCAAACAGGAUUAGAUACCCUGGUAGUCCACGCCGUAAACGAUGAUGACUAGCUGUCUGGGCGCUUAGCGUUCAGGUGGCGCAGCUAACGCGUUAAGUCAUCCGCCUGGGGAGUACGGCCGCAAGGUUA
rnacentral:rRNA from 1 species